rnacentral:rRNA from 1 species
UACGUAGGGGCAAGCGUUGUCCGGAUUUAUUGGGCGUAAAGAGCGUGUAGGCGGCCAGGUAGGUCUGCUGUGAAAACUCGAGGCUUAACCUCGAGCUGUCGGCGGAAACCAUCUGGCUAGAGUCCGGAAGAGGAGAAUGGAAUUCCCGGUGUAGCGGUGAAAUGCGCAGAUAUCGGGAAGAACACCCGUGGCGAAGGCGGUUCUCUGGGACGGUACUGACGCUGAGACGCGAAAGCGUGGGGAGCGAACAGG